rnacentral:rRNA from 1 species
GACGAACGCUGGCGGCGUGCUUAACACAUGCAAGUCGAGCGGUAAGGCCCUUUCGGGGGUACACGAGCGGCGAACGGGUGAGUAACACGUGGGUGACCUGCCCUCAGCUCUGGGAUAAGCCUGGGAAACCGGGUCUAAUACUGGAUAUGACUCCAUGACGCAUGUUGUGGGGUGGAAAGCCUUGUGCGGCUGAGGAUGGGCCCGCGGCCUAUCAGCUUGUUGGUGGGGNGAUGGCCUACCAAGGCGACGACGGGUAGCCGGCCUGAGAGGGCGACCGGCCACACUGGGACUGAGACACGGCCCAGGACUCCUACGGGAGGCAGGCAGUGGGGGAAUCUUGCGGCAAAUGGGCGAAAGCCUGACGCAGCGACGCCGCGUGAGGGAUGACGGCCU